rnacentral:rRNA from 1 species
ACGAACGCUGGCGGCGUGGAUAAGACAUGCAAGUCGAACGAGAGAAUUGCUAGCUUGCUAAUAAUUCUCUAGUGGCGCACGGGUGAGUAACACGUGAGUAACCUGCCCCCGAGAGCGGGAUAGCCCUGGGAAACUGGGAUUAAUACCGCAUAGUAUCGAAAGAUUAAAGCAGCAAUGCGCUUGGGGAUGGGCUCGCGGCCUAUUAGUUAGUUGGUGAGGUAACGGCUCACCAAGGCGAUGACGGGUAGCCGGUCUGAGAGGAUGUCCGGCCACACUGGAACUGAGACACGGUCCAGACACCUACGGGUGGCAGCAGUCGAGAAUCAUUCACAAUGGGGGAAACCCUGAUGGUGCGACGCCGCGUGGGGGAAUGAAGGUCUUCGGAUUGUAAACCCCUGUCAUGUGGGAGCAAAUUAAAAAGAUAGUACCACAAGAGGAAGAGACGGCUAACUCUGUGCCAGCAGCCGCGGUAAUACAGAGGUCUCAAGCGUUGUUCGGAAUCACUGGGCGUAAAGCGUGCGUAGGCUGUUUCGUAAGUCGUGUGUGAAAGGCGCGGGCUCAACCCGCGGACGGCACAUGAUACUGCGAGACUAGAGUAAUGGAGGGGGAACCGGAAUUCUCGGUGUAGCAGUGAAAUGCGUAGAUAUCGAGAGGAACACUCGUGGCGAAGGCGGGUUCCUGGACAUUAACUGACGCUGAGGCACGAAGGCCAGGGGAGCGAAAGGGAUUAGAUACCCCUGUAGUCCUGGCAGUAAACGGUGCACGCUUGGUGUGCGGGGAAUCGACCCCCUGCGUGCCGGAGCUAACGCGUUAAGCGUGCCGCCUGGGGAGUACGGUCGCAAGAUUAAAACUCAAAGAAAUUGACGGGGACCCGCACAAGCGGUGGAGUAUGUGGCUUAAUUCGAUGCAACGCGAAGAACCUUACCUGGGCUUGACAUGUAAUGAACAACAUGUGAAAGCAUGCGACUCUUCGGAGGCGUUACACAGGUGCUGCGUGGCCGUCGUCAGCUCGUGUCGUGAGAUGUUUGGUUAAGUCCAGCAACGAGCGCAACCCCUGUUGCCAGUUACCAGCACGUGAAGGUGGGGACUCUGGCGAGACUGCCCAGAUCAACUGGGAGGAAGGUGGGGACGACGUCAGGUCAGUAUGGCCCUUAUGCCCAGGGCUGCACACGUACUACAAUGCCCAGUACAGAGGGGGCCGAAGCCGCGAGGCGGAGGAAAUCCUAAAAACUGGGCCCAGUUCGGACUGUAGGCUGCAACCCGCCUACACGAAGCCGGAAUCGCUAGUAAUGGCGCAUCAGCUACGGCGCCGUGAAUACGUUCCCGGGUCUUGUACACACCGCCCGUCACAUCAUGGAAGCCGGUCGCACCCGAAGUAUCUGAAGCCAACCGCAAGGAGGCAGGGUCCUAAGGUGAGACUGGUAACUGGGAUG